rnacentral:misc_RNA from 1 species
CACAAUGUCUGGGUCUUACUCUGGAAACGUCUCUCAGAAAAAUCCUCUCCCUUUGGCACGAAUUACGACAAAUGUGCCGGGGAAAUCCAAGCCAUUGCCAUUGCCAUUGCCAUUGCAACAGGAAAAUGAUAUGGAAAUUGACCCAUGGACACUGUUGGAAGAUGGUACAGGAUCAGGCCCAUCUUCGAGUAACACUGCUGUGAUUGGCAGUGGUGACCAUGCUAAUCUUCGAGCCUCCAGCUGGCUUAAAGGGGCUGUAAGGGUCAGAAGGACAGACCUCACAUAUAUUGGGGCUGUGGAUGAUGACAGCUGAUUUAAGUUAUAACUUUCAUUCUUGAUUUGGCCUGGAGUGAACAAUCCCCUCAACAGGUAAUGUUUUUGUUUAUAAUGCACAUUUGGCAUCAGGGUUCCACCUUGUUCUUGCCGUUCCUGCCUUUGAUGGCAGAGGGAGCUGUUGGGAGGGACAUUCUUAGGGGGGCCAUGUAGUCUUGUGAAGGUAGUGAAAGAAAGGUUACACAGCCUGCCCCCCAAAUCUGGGGCCUGCUUGACUACUAACAUUUUGAUCACCGCCCAUCUGGACUAUGUACUCCAGGUGCAGUUCGGAGGCUUGUUGUAUAUAUAGAGAUAAUUUUUUACUUUAUCAAUUCUUCAGGGUG